GGGACUUUAAAGCAGUUACAAAAAGAUCAAAUUUAAUUUUCAUUUAAUUUUAUUUCAUAUACUUUAAUUUAAUGCUCUAAUUUAACUUAUACCACUAGACUGUUAAGACUUUCACCCACUGCAGCCUCCAUGGCUUGUAAAAGCACCACUGAAGAGCCGAGAACUGCAGUUCCUUGAGUGUCCAGAUGUUAGGAGGCUCGCUCCAAAAGUGAGUCCAACCCUGUUAGGUCUCACACUAAAAAGCCCAACUUUACAGCAAAAAUACACACUCUUUCAGUUUGGUAAAACUUUUUGUUAACUCACUUCUGUUAACUUUCAAACUCUUAGAGGAUUAGAGCAGACAGUUCACUGAACUUGAGGCAUGUAAAAAGAGGUUGACAGAUUAUUGGGUCACAUCACAGUUCCCCCGUCAGUGUAUUUAUACAGUCAAUGAUUUCAUCUGGUGCAAUAAGGUAAAAGUUCCAAUUUUGUAACUCUGUGGGGAAAACCACCAAGUGGACCCAGUCACUUCCCCGCAGUGACACCAGUGACAUGUCUUCCCUCAGAUUUGCGUUCAGUUUGACUGGACGCUGUGGCAACAAUGUAAACAGGAAGACCAUAGAUAGUGCAGCUAUGCACAGAGCCCUCAGGGCAUUCACUCUCCCAUGGCUUCGCGCACCUUGACCCAGGCAGAUAACCAUCUGAAUACGUGAUCAACAGCAGGACAUGUUUGAAGACAGGAGAUGAUUUCCACUGAUUUGAAUUUCAAAAUUAUUUCAAUGAAACAAAAGGCUUCGUUAGAAGUUGACGUAAUCUCACAUUUGGUGCCUUUAUAAUGCCAAAGUUCACAAACACAGUAUGUGAAGCUGUGACGCCACAGUGGUGUUGUUGCAGUUGAUGUUGUUGCCUCACAGUAAAAAGGUUUCUGGUUUAAGUCCCAGCUGGGGCCCUCCUAUGUGUCUCUCUCUGGGUUAUUUCCAGGCACUGUAGCUUCUUCCAAGAAUCCAAAGACAUUCUCGUUUGGUAAGUCGGUUGUCUUCACACAAAAUGCCCAAACCCCAUGGGUUUACAAGAUACCAAAAAUACAAUAACAGCGCUCUAAACAUGUCAAGUUAUGAUAAAUGAUUGUAUAAUGUUGCUUGCUUUUAAAUAUUACACUCUGCCUUUUCUCUUCCGAAACACAGCUCAAGUUUUUCAUAAUCAUCUUAAAAUAAAACAGCAUAAAUGGAAGACAUUUUUAUUAACAAAAACCUCCCUUAAGUCAUCAUCGACAGUCAAACAGAAAACGAAGUCACACAACAAACAGAUUGUGUCCUUUUCAGGUGUGGCCUUUAACUUCCCUUUUUCGAAAGCUAAAGGUAAGGUUCCUGAGCGCAACUGUGCACAGAGACCUUUGUCUUUUGAUAUACUGAAGACUCCUCACCACAAAUACUCUUUCUCCAAAAAUAAGUUCAUAGCUUAGUUUUUUUUCCCUGUAUUUUGAAAACUUAUUACUCCUAAUCUCCUAUGAUUCAAUCCAUGGUAUUUUGUGCUACUUUGCAAAUUUUCAUCAUAGUAUUUACCUCCUCAAUUUUUUGUCAGUCUUACUAAUAUCAGAUAAGUGAGCAGAAAUCCAGAAGUCUCUUGUGGUAAUAAUUUACCGGGACAAAUAUUUUUUCUAUCUGUAAUUAUUCAAUGAAACAUUACCCAAGUUCAGCAAGAUUGUUUCUCAUUUAUAAGCAUUAAUAUUUUGAAAAAAAAAACAACAACAACAACAACAACAUUAUGCUCUCUUAGUAUCAGUAUCGGCCUCAGCCAGUGAAAAACUAUAGGGAGACCACUUCCCGCAAUAGUUAGAACCCAAAACCCCACAAAAAAGGUGUCCAAAAAUCUUUUCAUGUCUGCCACCUUUUUUUACUUUAAAUCUACUGAAGUGACAAUGCCAAACAAAGAUUGCACAAAACGCAGAUAACUAACUCUGAGAAAUGAAGCCUCUCAGAGAGAAAAAAAAAAAAGCCCUUCCUCAAAUGUCCACUUGAAACUGGCUUCAAAAGCCAAAGAGUCCUCUUUAGGUCCCAUGAUGAAAUACCAAACUUUACAGCACAAUAAACCUGCUCACAGCUCGCUUCAACAGCCGAUAGAGCUCAUUUCACUGUACGUACAUUUUCAUAAUGGGUCCAUUAGAACGACAUUGCGCAUUAAACCUGGGCUUGGCUGAGUUGACUAAUAGGACACAUGGUUUUUUGCUGAGAGUUGAAUUGAAUCUGUGUGACCAUUAUUAGGCUACAAAAACAAAGUGACGGUACACACGUCCACAUUUUCUACAUUCUAAUGAGAUACAAGCAUGUGAGAUCAACAUGAGGGCACAUUGCUGCUGCUGCUGCGUACAAGUGGGAUUGACAGACACUCAUCAAGAUUACAUAAUCUUUAACAAGUUCCAUUCAAACUGCCAAGUAUUUUAUUGCUCUAAUCUGGCGAGCUCAUUACUCAGCUAUGGAAACUACCUGCUAUGAUAGUAGUACAAUGGAGGUACCAAAGAGAAAAAUGUUCCAACAUAAAUUGAACUUGUGUGUUACAUAAGAUCAAGUGCACACUCUCUAAGAAAUUUGAUGAUGAUUUUUUAGUGUCUGGAUGACAUCAAGAAACCUGAGCUGUCCUCCUCUUCCUCCAGAUUCAGCAGAAAUGAGGCAGCUGUUUAUGCUAAACACCAGCACAGACAAAGACAAGCGUUUUUCCAUGGUGGUGGUCCGUACUGCCAUGGCAAUGGGCAGUGAGUUUGUUUGAAACUCUAACACAGGUCCUGUGGUCUGGUGGUGUCUGACGUCAGGAGACUGGCCCCGGUGUCUGUGAGCCGCCCCGGUUCAGGCUGGGCUGGCGGCUGUUACUGCCAGGAGAUCCAGCUGACAGCCAGUCCACCUCGUUUCUCCACUCCAGCAGCCAGGCUCUGAAAGCAUCCACAGCCCUGAGGCUGAGGCAGGAGAGGAAGAGAACCACUUCCAGCAAAACAAACCUGCUCUCCCCAUAUCCACUUUAUAAAAACAAAUGUCUUCCUGCAGUUUCUCCCUGCCAGCUGCUGUUUGUUUUGAGUUGGGUUGACGGUGAGGACUGUAGUCACUGGGCAGGAUGACUGGCUAAUAUGGGGCAUUCCAGGAUAAUUCAAUAACAGAGCGGGCCUGUGUGUAAAUGGCAAAGAUCAGCUCAGAGUGGCUGAGACAGAUCGGUGAGGAAGUUUGCUGUAAAAGACAGUUCUAAAGAAAGUGAUGAAUCUGGAAAAAGAUGAGAUGAGGCAGUUGUCUUCCUCUCGGGCCUCUUGUAUAUAUGUGUGUGUGUGUUUGUGUCAAGUUUAAAAUGAAGGAUUUGGACAAUAACAGGAUGUGUCCUUCCCAGAAAACUGUCACAAAUCAUCUCGUUAUCAAAUAUGGCGGCAGUUGUCAAAGAUAUGCCAUUGUUUCUCUCUCAGUGGGAUUUUUCUUUGCAUGGAGCUGUCUCGAAUAUCUGCAAAUACAUAGAUUUUAUAUGGCAGCCAUUAUACAAUCUACAGAAGGAGAAAAGCAUUAGCACUGUUAAAACACAACCCAAUGUAAGAUGUGUGGACCCUACAACCAACCAUCCUUUUUGGUCAAAAAAUGUGCAAAAUGAAGAUUUUAAGGUAAUAACAUGGAUAAAUGUAGUCGUCUUAUUUUCUUAUGUCAACCCUUUAGAAGAAAUAUUCUGUCAGUGAGAAAACAAUAAGUGAUUCCUCUGUGUCUACAGCAGUUGUCAGUGUCACAUCACAUUUAUCAUGAUGUGUUUGAAGUCAUGGCACCAGCGUGACAUUUGUGUUAAUUCCUCUGGGCUCUUCAUCCAGCGCACAGCUAGCUGACAAUGGUUCAGCUAUGGAAGGGAACAUCCCUGUGGGGACACAAGAGGCACAGAAGUCCGCCUUGUUUGUCAAAGAAAUAAGAAUAAAAAAAACACACUUGGAUCACACAGGCAUUCAUGAGACACUGAAGCACGUUUUGCAACCAAAACCUAAAAGUCCACAAGUCUGGCUGCUUGGAUCAAGGUAUAAAUCUACUU